GAGUUUGAUCCUGGCUCAGGAUGAACGCUGGCGGCGUGCUUAACACAUGCAAGUCGAACGAAGCGCCUUAUUUGAUUUUCUUCGGAACUGAAGAUUUGGUGACUGAGUGGCGGACGGGUGAGUAACGCGUGGGUAACCUGCCCUGUACAGGGGGAUAACAAUCAGAAAUGACUGCUAAUACCGCAUAAGACCACAGCACCGCAUGGUGCAGGGGUAAAAACUCCGGUGGUACAGGAUGGACCCGCGUCUGAUUAGCUGGUUGGUGAGGUAACGGCUCACCAAGGCGACGAUCAGUAGCCGGCUUGAGAGAGUGAACGGCCACAUUGGGACUGAGACACGGCCCAAAACUCCUACGGGAGGCAGCAGUGGGGAAUAUUGCACAAUGGGGGAAACCCUGAUGCAGCAACGCCGCGUGAGUGAAGAAGUAUUUCGGUAUGUAAAGCUCUAUCAGCAGGGAAGAAAGUGACGGUACCUGACUAAGAAGCCCCGGCUAACUACGUGCCAGCAGCAGCCGCCG
rnacentral:rRNA from 1 species